rnacentral:rRNA from 1 species
UUGGCGCAGGCUUUUCCAUGCAGUCGAGCGGGGGAGGUAGCUUGCUACCGGACCUAGCGGCGGACGGGUGAGUAAUGCUUAGGAAUCUGCCUAUUAGUGGGGGACAACAUCUCGAAAGGGAUGCUAAUACCGCAUACGUCCUACGGGAGAAAGCAGGGGAUCUUCGGACCUUGCGCUAAUAGAUGAGCCUAAGUCGGAUUAGCUAGUUGGUGGGGUAAAGGCCUACCAAGGCGACGAUCUGUAGCGGGUCUGAGAGGAUGAUCCGCCACACUGGGACUGAGACACGGCCCAGACUCCUACGGGAGGCAGCAGUGGGGAAUAUUGGACAAUGGGCGCAAGCCUGAUCCAGCCAUGCCGCGUGUGUGAAGAAGGCCUUAUGGUUGUAAAGCACUUUAAGCGAGGAGGAGGCUACUUUAGAUAAUACCUAGAGAUAGUGGACGUUACUCGCAGAAUAAGCACCGGCUAACUCUGUGCCAGCAGCCGCGGUAAUACAGAGGGUGCAAGCGUUAAUCGGAUUUACUGGGCGUAAAGCGCGCGUAGGCGGCUAAUUAAGUCAAAUGUGAAAUCCCCGAGCUUAACUUGGGAAUUGCAUUCGAUACUGGUUAGCUAGAGUGUGGGAGAGGAUGGUAGAAUUCCAGGUGUAGCGGUGAAAUGCGUAGAGAUCUGGAGGAAUACCGAUGGCGAAGGCAGCCAUCUGGCCUAACACUGACGCUGAGGUGCGAAAGCAUGGGGAGCAAACAGGAUUAG